rfam:Pteropus alecto contig53308, whole genome shotgun sequence.
GUCUAUGGUCAUGACACUCUGAACAAGCCCAAUCCCGUCUGAUCUCUGAGGCUAAGCAGGUUCAGGCCUGGUUAGUACUUAGAUGAAAGACCACCUAGGAAGACCAGGUGCUGUAGGCG